AUUGAACGCUGGCGGCAUGCUUUACACAUGCAAGUCGAACGGCAGCGCGGGCUUCGGCCUGGCGGCGAGUGGCGAACGGGUGAGUAAUACAUCGGAACGUGCCCAGUAGUGGGGGAUAGCUCGGCGAAAGCCGGAUUAAUACCGCAUACGACCUGAGGGUGAAAGCGGGGGAUCUUCGGACCUCGCGCUAUUGGAGCGGCCGAUGGCAGAUUAGCUAGUUGGUGGGGUAAAGGCCUACCGAGGCGACGAUCUGUAGCUGGUCUGAGAGGACGACCAGCCACACUGGGACUGAGACACGGCCCAGACUCCUACGGGAGGCAGCAGUGGGGAAUUUUGGACAAUGGGCGAAAGCCUGAUCCAGCAAUGCCGCGUGUGUGAUGAAGGCCUUCGGGUUGUAAAGCACUUUUGGCGGGAACGAAAAGGACUGUGCCAAUACCACGGUUCGAUGACGGUACCCGCAGAAUAAGCACCGGCUAACUACGU
rnacentral:rRNA from 1 species